rnacentral:lncRNA from 1 species
CAAAUCAAGCGUCCUUUUUUCUUUUUUUUUUGGGAAUUAGUAUAAGAUUAAAAAAAGGAACAAGAUGGAUGUUUUUAACAACCCAAUAGAGACAAGGAUGCUAGGAGGCCAAGUGGGAAGUGAGGAGGAGCAAAGAGGGAGAAAGUCAUCAUAUUCUGGGAGAAAAUCAAAGGUGCCAUAUUCACAAACAAGGAUAAUAGUAUAAUUUUAUUAAAAAAAUAAAAUUUUUUAUCCUUUUAUUUUCUUUUUCAGAAUGAAACAUGAAAUUGAAAACAGAGAUGAAUAUAUAGCUACACUAAUGAAAUGAAAAUUAUUGAUUCAAAACUAAAACAUAAUAAAAAGGAAAUAAAAAAGUGAAGAAAUGUUACCUAGGCUCAAAACUUUAGCUCCUGUUCCAGCCAACAAACAAUAGCCACUGCCGCCACUGCUUUUAAUCUUUUAUGUCGAUCUUCACCACCAUCAGAACAUAAAGACCC